rnacentral:rRNA from 1 species
CGCCAGCAGCCGCGGUAAUACGAAGGAUGCAAGCGUUAUCCGGAUUUAUUGGGUUUAAAGGGUGCGUAGGCGGGUUUGUAAGUCAGAGGUGAAAUCCCAUAGCUCAACUAUGGAACUGCCUUUGAUACUAUAGAUCUUGAGUAUGGUUGACGUUGGCGGAAUGUGCAGUGUAGCGGUGAAAUGCUUAGAUAUUGCACAGAACACCGAUUGCGAAGGCAGCUAACGAAGUCAUUACUGACGCUGAUGCACGAAAGCGUGGGGAGCAAACAGGAUUAGAUACCCUGGUAGUCCACGCCCUAAACGUUGAAUACUCGAUGUUGGCGAUAUACAGUCAGCGUCCAAGCGAAAGCGUUAAGUAUUCCACCUGGGGAGUACGCCGGCAACGGUGAAACUCAAAGGAAUUGACGGGGGCCCGCACAAGC